ensembl:lncRNA
CGACGCGUGUGGAAAAGAGGCUGACAAUGAAACAAAGCUCACGUUCAGCACCGUGUCUGACCAUGACACUUCACUUUAAUGCGCAACGAGCUCUGAAGGAAACAGGUGAGUGGAGCUGACCUGGUUAGAGAUGCACCACACCCGAUCAGGCAGGGCUGAGGAGACUGUGGCUGAGUUCCAAUCCAGACAAUGCACCCUCCCCCUACACACUUUCACUCUAUCUGCACGGAGGAUAAAUGUCUUCAGCUGCCUGGGCGACUGAAAAAGCUCUUUGUGUUUUAUAUUCAUACUCUUAACGCAGUGACUGCAUACUUAUUCACAUGACAGAUUUACUUUCUUAAUUUAACACUGUGUCAUUAUAUAGAUUGUUACAUACUUUUGGGGCACAUUGUGGCAUGCAUAUAAGAAAGAACAGUUUCGUGAGUUUUGAGCCUUCUUUCUGAGCUCAGCUCAUGUUAAAAUGCUCAGUUUUCUACAAAAAACAAAAACAGUUUCUGAAAUCUCCUGGUGAAAUUGUACUAAGUCUUAUUAUUGGAUGACUGGUGGAUGCCGAUACAAGUGGCUGUAGCUACUAGCUCUCUGCUUUGCUUCACUUCUGCUAACUGGAGUAACUGGGUUGUGCUUUUGAUUCCUUUUGGAGUAUUUAUAAUGCCUUUAUCUUACAAAUAAUACCGUUUUCUAUGCCAUAUUGUUUGCCAUAUAAUUAUACUGACUGACUGUGUGUAAAAUUCUAGGAUUUUAUUUGGAUCUUGCUCAUUAGCAGGCCCCUGGGACUGUGUAAUGCACCCAUAUGGUCUUUGGGUGCAGCUUGCUAAACCAUCUCAUCUUUAUCUUUAAGCCUCAUGGCAUGAUGGGAAAUGCUAUCCCUUGAUACGAUAUUAGCUUAAGCUGUGAUUUAUUGUUAACAGUCUCUCUAUAAUCUGUGUUCUGCCUGAAGCCUGUUCAAAGGGAGUUCUUCCUCCCCACCAUUGCCAAGUGUUGCCCACAGGAUUCUUAUGAAUACAUUUUGAGUUUUCAUGGCUGGCAUCACUACAGCAGCUGUAUAGUGGUUAGCACUACCAACUCGAGGGCCCUUUCUGUGUGCAGCCUGUACGUUAUCCUUGUGCCUGCAUGUUUCCUCCAGAUGCUCUCGUGUCCUCCCAUAGUUCAAAGACAUCCAUGCUGGGCUAACUGAUGAUUCUGGAUAUGAGAUAGAUAAAGUGUAUACAAUGACAGGUAAGUAAAUGGGAAAUGUUAACUACAUAAUCUUUUGAUUUUUUGAUUUUUGACUUCCUCAAUAGUUCCUCAACAUGAUUACAAUUUUUUUUUUACAUUUAGCCAGGCACUUAGGACACAACACUUUCUAAAUUCAAUCCCCUGUUUCUGUUGUAAUAGCAAGAAAUAAUAGAUGUAGUAAUGCAUGUAUUCACAGUGAGUAUUGUUUACGCC